UUAAUUGUUAUAAAAAUUAUUGUCAUCUAAUUCGUGUUUUACUUUUCUUGUUUAAUUUCAUUGUGGAAUUAUCCUCGGACAAGCAAAUUAGUAUUAAUAUUUUAACCGAUGUGGAAUGUUUUGGUCGAAAGCCGCAUCCCAGAUUAAUUUGGCGGCCAUUUAUUUACAAAUGCUUUUACACGACUGACAUAAGCGUUAUAAUAUUUAAUCCUAAUAUUUAAUAUAACUCUUUCUUUUGUGAUCAUUUAAAUAAAAUUGUUUUAAGUUAGGCUUAACUGCUGGGGUACAGCAAGGAUUUUCAUAGUAGUAAAUUCUUCGUUUAACGAGGAUAAACAGUAUAUCUUCCCAUGUGAUAUAGUGAUAAGCCUGACUAGUUUUCGUAUGUGUAUUCACAAAAGAAAAUCUAAGAAACGACUGAUUUACGAACGACAAUACUCGACAAAUUGUAUUUUUGUUCAUCUGAAAAUCACCCCAUUUAGGACCCCAAUAUAUUUAGCAAGAUAAGUUUUCUCCCUUGAAAGCAAUCUUCUGUAUUAUUUUCCCGUAGUUUUUCAACAGACACACAAGUCACAACAAAGAUGUUAGUUAAUUUUUCAGUGAGUACAUUGGACAGCAUUCAAAAGAAAAAAAAAUGAAGAACGCAGAAACAGGCAAAAGAAAAAAAAAAGAAAAAGAAGAAACACCUGAAAUCAUGAUAUUGGAUGAAUUUUAAUUUAUCAAGAUGCUGAAGUAUAAAUGAAUAUGAAGGUUAUAGGAAGUAAACCUGAAAAAGUUCUGAGGUGUCUUACCAAAGAUAAACAAAAAAAGAAUUGAAGGAGGCAGAGUACAAAUUUCUUCCUGAAACUGGAUACUCAAAGGCAAAGGGAAGAAGUCGACUACUUUCAUAUCCAUACAUGAAAAUGAUGUUGAAAACGAAGUGGAUAAGUACACAAAAAGCCACCAUGAGAAGGGACUCAGAUCAGCUUUAUAUUUGAAAGGAACAAGAACAAUUAGAAAUGUCAGAUAUAGCGACUGAAACUUUAUAUUAUUUUACAUGUUACAUCUAUUAUACUUUAUCAAUCUUGGAAAAUAUUUGUGAUUUUAUAAAGAAUAAUUGCAAUGAAUAAAAUUUCAUACAUUU